rnacentral:SRP_RNA from 1 species
GAACAGCGCCCUUGCGGCGUGCUGCGGGUGAACUCCGCCAGGGUCGGAAGGCAGCAACGGCAGCCUUUAGGCGCGGGUGUUGAGGUGACGCUGUUCAGC